UCAAACAAAGAAUUAGUUCAUGAUUAUUGAAUUAAAAUUAAGAAUCCACAAUUGAAAUAACAUUAAAAGAUAAAAAUAAGAGUAAAGAAAAGAAUUGAAUCUGUUGUCAGCAAAUCUCCAUCUUCCUCAAGCUCCUGCUCUUGAUCUUCAAUGGUCUUUAAGUUGCUUCAAACUCCAAAUCUAAGUAGAACUAGUGUUUUGAUCUAAGUUACUCUACUCUAAUCUAAUGGAAUCUUAUUUCUCCUCUAAUAUCACAUAAUCUCUCUUCUAAUCCUUGUUAUUCUCCUCCUUUUAUAAGCCUUUUUACAUGUCUUUAAGUCCUCUUGGAAGUCCUUGAGUUAAUUGGAUCGAAAUAAUCCUUCCCGAACUCAAAUUUGGCCAAAAACCACUUCUUUUACGCGUACCCCCGCCUCGACGGGGGUCUAGGCUUGUCAAGGGCCCUCCCCGACGGGCUAUAGUACUGUUUUGCAGCUGGUACCCCCGCCUCGGUGGGGGUUUUACUAAGGAAAAGCCCG
rnacentral:lncRNA from 1 species